rnacentral:rRNA from 1 species
UACAGAGGGUGCAAGCGUUAAUCGGAAUUAUUGGGCGUAAAGCGUCUGUAGGUGGCCCAUUAAGUCUCCUGUGAAAGCCCCGCGCUCAACGUGGGAACGGCAGGGGAUACUGAAGGGCUCGAAUGUGACAGAGGGUGGUGGAAUUCCCGGUGUAGCAGUGAAAUGCGUAGAGAUCGGGAGGAACAUCCAUGGCGAAGGCAGCCACCUGGGUCAACAUUGACACUGAGAGACGAAAGCGUGGGGAGCAUACAGG